rnacentral:rRNA from 1 species
UACAGAGGGGGCAAGCGUUGUUCGGAAUUACUGGGCGUAAAGAGCUCGUAGGCGGUUUGUCACGUCUGCUGUGAAAUCCCGAGGCUCAACCUCGGGCCUGCAGUGGGUACGGGCAGACUGGAGUGCGGUAGGGGAGAAUGGAAUUCCUGGUGUAGCGGUGGAAUGCGCAGAUAUCAGGAGGAACACCGAUGGCGAAGGCAGUUCUCUGGGCCGUAACUGACGCUGAGGAGCGAAAGCGUGGGGAGCGAACAGG